rnacentral:rRNA from 1 species
CGUAGGGGGCAAGCGUUGUCCGGAUUUAUUGGGCGUAAAGAGCGUGUAGGCGGCCAGAUAGGUCGGUUGUGAAAACUGGAGGCUUAACCUUCAGACGUCGAUCGAAACCAUCUGGCUAGAGUCCGGAAGAGGAGAAUGGAAUUCCUGGUGUAGCGGUGAAAUGCGCAGAUAUCAGGAAGAACACCCGUGGCGAAGGCGGUUCUCUGGGACGGUACUGACGCUGAGACGCGAAAGCGUGGGGAGCGAACAGGAUUAGAUACCCUGGUAGUCCACGCCGUAAACGAUGGGUGCUAGAUGUGGGGGGUGUCGACUCCCUCCGUGCCGAAGCUAACGCAUUAAGCACCCCGCCUGGGGAGUACGGCCGCAAGGCUAA